GACGAACGCUGGCGGCGUGCUUAACACAUGCAAGUCGAACGCUGAAGCUCAGCUUUUGUUGGGUGGAUGAGUGGCGAACGGGUGAGUAACACGUGAGUAACCUGCCUCCUUCUUUGGGAUAACGCCCGGAAACGGGUGCUAAUACUGGAUAUUCACUGGUCUUCGCAUGGGGGUUGGUGGAGAGGGCUUUUCUGGUGGGGGAUGGGCUCGCGGCCUAUCAGCUUGUUGGUGGGGUGAUGGCCUACCAAGGCUUUGACGGGUAGCCGGCCUGAGAGGGUGACCGGUCACAUUGGGACUGAGAUACGGCCCAGACUACUACGGGGGGCAGCAGUGGGGAAUAUUGCACAAUGGGCGCAAGCCUGAUGCAGCGACGCCGCGUGAGGGAUGGAGGCCUUCGGGUUGUGAACCUCUUUCGCUCAUGGUCAAGCCGCAACAAUGGUUGUGGUGAGGGUAGUGGGUAAAGAAGCGCCGGCUAACUACGUG
rnacentral:rRNA from 1 species